rnacentral:misc_RNA from 1 species
GAUGAAGAACGUAGCGAAAUGCGAUAAGUAAUGUGAAUUGCAGAAUUCAGUGAAUCAUCGAAUCUUUGAACGCACCUUGCGCCCUUUGGACAUUCCGAAGGGCAUGCCUGUUUGAGUAUCAUGAACACCUCAACUCUCACGGCUUGUCCGUGAUGAGCUUGGACUUUGGGGGUCUUGCCGGCCUGUGGUCGGCUCCUCUCAAAUGGAUCAGCUUGCCAGUGUUUGGUGGCAUCACAGGUGUGAUAACUGUCUGCGCUUGUGGUUUUCCAUCAGAUAACCUUCAGUGAUAUGGAGGUUCGCUGGAGCUCACAAAUGUCUCUCCUUAGUGAGGACAGCUCUUUGAACGUUUGAUCUCAAAUCAGGUAGGACUACCCGCUGAACUUAAGCAUAUCAAUAAGCGGAGGA